CACACACACACACUAGAUGUUGAAGUGACUUCAAGAUUACACUUGUUCCUUGAUCAAAAUCAAAAUCAAAGUCUGCAAGAACAAUAAUCCUUUAAUAAUUAAUUACCACUGAUACUUUUCAUAUUUGGAUUAAAAAGUGGGCGAGGAGGGAAGCACAUGAAGAAAGUUCAACAGGUAGAUCUUCAAUUGUGUUUCUUGAAAUUAAGAUCAACUUUUGUGGUGGAACAACACUUAACCCAUGCCCUCCUAAAGAAAAGGGUUUAUUUUUUUCAAAAUUAUAUUACUAAUAGCCAUGCACAUAAGCUGUUAUGUCCAGAAACUUGGUAUUUCUAAAGUCAAAAAUCAAAAUUUUCGGUUGUAGUAAAAAACUGAAUCCAAUAAGUGCAAAUGAUCUAUCUCUAAGUAGCAAAGAGUAAAUGAACUUUUUGACCUAAAAUCACAUAAAAGGAAAUUAAAAGUCAUUUCCUCAAUUUGAUAUUUGGACUAAAGAUUAUUGUUGAAAGUACCUUUCUAUUUAGAAGUGAUGUCAACUAACAAAUAACAAAAAAAGAAAAAGGGCUGAAAAUUCCUUUAGCAUAAUCACUUUUCUUCCCAUAUAACUAUAGCAUAAAGAAACUAAAUGAGAGUGAAAACCCAUGGUUUGCUCAAAAAUACACCAAAUGGUACAGUCAAAUCUUAACAUGCUGAUAUAGAUACAAUAUCCAAGAUAUCAACUAUUUUUUAUUAUGAAAUAGUUGAUCUUUCUUUUCUUCCAGGAUGAGUAAGCUAACCAAGUUUAUGAUUUAACCCAAACAAAAUGCAGGAAAGCUAGGAAUCACAAAAACACACACACACACACGUGGUAAGUAGCACAAAAUUACAGACAAUAGUCUGUAAUAGCAUUUGAUAAGAACAAAUAUCUCAUGGGCAUUUUAUCAAUCACAUAGAGUGCAACAUCAAAUGCAAGGUUAAGAAGGCAAUCAGAUACAACACACAUUCAUGAUAAUAAAAAAUCGAAUACAAUUAAUAAAAAUUAAGAACAUCAGAUUAAAGAAGAAACCUAGAUGACGAAUGAAUUGAAGAAGAAAACCAAGGUGUGAAUAAUAGCCAGAACAGUAAUCGAAUUUAUAGAGUGAUUUCAAUAUGGAAUUCAUUUUGUUCCACAAAAAUUGGGAUCUCACGUAUCAACAGAGAUUAACGACUCGAAAAUAGAGCCUAUAUAUGGGAACUCUAUCAAUUUACUUCAUUAAAAAUUCAAAUUCAAAUUGAGGAGAUGAUUUACGGGAGAGUUAAUAUGAAAGCAAUUCUCCUGUUUACUAAAUUGAAGAAAAAAUGUUGUGAGAGUAAAAUGGAUACAGAAAGUAUGUUGUAUGGGAUGUGAAUUUGGAAUGCAACAAUGGUCUGAGGAAAAUAAGGCAAUUGAUUUGAGAAAACACGUUAUAGAUUCAAUUGGUUGCUGAUAUGUGGGACCUCAAAUAAAGCCCAUAUUACGCGCCACAGAGAAUCAUAUUUGUUUUUAAAAAAAAAAUACACAUGUCAAUUUUAGAAGGUAGAAGGAAAAAAUUGAAAAAUAUGAGAAAAUGACAUUUGUCAAAACACCUAAGAAGUUGACAAGUGGCAAAAGGAUUUUUAUUUAUUAGAACAGACUGCAUUGUGUGAUAUAGACUAGGGUAGAACUGAAUUGAGAGAGACUAUUUACUGAAUGAUUGAAACACUCUGUUAGUAGAAUGUGUAUUACAAACUGACUGAAAUCAGGAACUCUAUGUAUGUCCUGAAACAACGAAAUCAAAUGUUUCUGAGUCAAAUUAAAUUUUUAAAAAUUAUUAAAUAUACCAUACCCAACUUAGUUUCUAGGACAUGGACACUUAUCUAGAUUAGAUUCUGGAAGAUAGUUUUGUCAAAACUUGAGAGAUAACUCCUUGAAAGAUUCAUUCAUUUAUCUCCUUUGAUAUCUCUAUGUAUGUCCUGAAACAACAAAAUCAAAUGUUAAAAUUUUAAAAAUUAUUAAACAUACCAUACCCAACUUAGUUGCUAGGACAUGGACACUUAUCUAGAUUAGAUUCUGGAAGGUACUUUUGAGAUGAUUUCUUGAAAGAUUCAUUCAUUUAUCUCCUUCGAUAACUCUAUGUAUGUCCUGAAACAAUGAAAUCAAAUCAAAUGUUUCUGAGUGAGUCGGUUUAAAAAUUAUUAAACAUACCCAGCUGCUAGGAAUAACCAACCAACAGAAGAAUUUAAAAGAGACAAAUAAUAAGCAAGAGGACUUUUAACUAAAUAAAGUACAUUAUUACCUGCAAUUUUGGUUUCUCAUGCACAACUUUUCAUAAUUCAAAUCCAUACUUUAACAUCACAAUAAAACUAAUCAACUGAAGAAAUCAUAAUCAUACUUACAAGGGCAUAAGAAACACAAUUUUUCAUUUGAAUCCAACCCUAGACCUCCCCUCCUCCUCCUUCUUCUUCUUCUUCUUCUUCUUCCAUGUUUGUACACUGCUACUGCAACAAAAAAUCAAAAUUAUAUAGAAAAAAAUUAACUGCAAGCUAAAUAUUGAAGGAAAACAAAAAACUCGGUGCCAUUUAGUUUUCUUGGCAGCUGAAACUUGCAAGGGCAUAAUGGUAAUUAGAAGUGAUUGUAAAAAAAACAAAACUCUCAAUGCCAGUUAGUUUGAAACUUGCAAGGGCAAAAUGGUAAUCUUUUUUCCUACCGACUAAGAAACAUAUUUUAACAAUUUAAGCCUAGCCUAACCCUUUUCAUAUUAUCAAAGCAGCAGCAUAUAACAUACAGAUGAUAAGAAAUGACACGUGACCUUUUUUUAUGCAGCUUUCAUGGCCUAGUGUCCAUACGGGAGGAGUGAUCAGCCAGGUGGACAAACGGGCCCGGAGGUUGCUUAAUCCGGUUGGGGUCCUCUGUAAUUAAAAAAAAAAAAAAAAAAAAAAAAAAAUAGUAUUAACUGCAGGGAACAGCAAGCAACAUACUUUAUUCUCACUACCAAAUACCAAUAUUGGCAAUGUUGGUUACUCAAACAUAAAACUUGAAACUUAUAGAAUAGUUUCAGGUAAAAAAAUGUUGCUAUUAUAGAUAAAGAAGGUAAGUAAGGUAUUAUAUAUGAUGCCGGUAAAAAUAGUAAGGUAUGUUGGUAUUAUACAUACCAGAUGAGAAUGAGAUGAUAAAACAUCAUUAUAGGCAGCAUUGUACUAUGACAAACCUACAACAUAAGUAUAUUGUUAUUAUAGGUAAACAAAUAAAGUACGAGUCAGGAAUAAAGUAGGAGUAUUUAAUGAUACCUUCCUUCCACAUUCCAUGUUAGAGAUCGAAAUUGGCUUGUACAAAAGAUGGAUAAGCAAGCUGUUCCCAUUAAUUUACUUUUUAUAACACACCUACAAUAUUCAUUUAGAUUAUGUUAGUUGGAAAGCCAGAACAGAAUAUUGUCUAGGAGCAUUAAAUGAUACCUUUUCAUAACAGGUAAUCCAUACUUAAUUUUGACUCAUGGUCAACUCAUGAGAUGAGCUUUGAGCUUUGAGCUUCCAACAUAACUAUGACCAAUAUAACCAACCAACAGGCAAGAGUAAGAUAUUUAAAUGCAUAUGCUAACAACAUCAUGUAUGUAUGUAUGUAUGUAUGUAAAUGUAAUCAUCAUUUAGUAUCUAUCUUUCAACCAAAGAAAAUGCUCGGAGGAAAAUAGAUACAUACUAAUACUUGCUUCAUUAUAUAUGCCAAAUGUCCCUGUUCUCUUCAACUUCAACACAGUCAGUCGUUUGAUAGUCAACAACUGGCUUGGCUUGGCUUGGCUUGGCUUGGCUUGUUAGUUGGAAGAGUCCUACUAGACAAUGCCAUAUAAAACAAAAUAAUCAUUCCUAAAUCUGGGACAGAUGAUUGAGGAUUAGCGUAAAUGUAUACACAUUACAUUACAUUAGAUGUGUUUAUUAAGUCAUUCUUUUUGCAUUGAGUUAAAAUAGAAAUAUCCAUAUAGUUUAUUAUUCCAUGUUCUCAUUAAGUAGAAAAGAAACAACAAUUAAGAAAAAAGUUAAUGCUCUUAUCUUCAUUUAAUAGACUCUUUUGUUCACAUACAAUGGAUGCAUAAGAAUUGUUGCUACAUGUCAUUGUCAAUUCUUUCAAUAUAUAUAAAAAAGAUGAUAAAGACCCUUUUUCUAACAGAAAUGAAGAAUUAUGCGUAAAGUACAACUGGAGUCUGAAUUGUACCUUUAGGAGUAACAAGUAACAACAGAAUAUGAUUAUUUAACUGUUGCUCAAAAUCCCCCACUCUUUUCUGCUAAUACUGUAAUCACAGAAAUUUACAAAUUCAUAUGCAAAAAGAAGAAAACUUAACUGCUACUGGAAGGAAUAACUUACUUACUAUGUAUGUGGUUUUGUUUUUGUGGAUGUAUGUAUGUAACAUCUUCAACAGGACUGGAGCAGAAUUCUUGUCAUCCUUCCUUUACCUCAAUUCAAUUCCCUCGACGACGAUUACUUGGUAUUUAAGUUUAAGGAACUAAAACAUAGUGAUUUAAUAGAUGAAAUUUCUACAUUUACCUCUUUAUUAAACUCUGAACGACAUGCAUGCAAUGCAGCAGCAUCUAUUAUCAAACAACUAAUACUCCAUUGAGCCGAAUUGCUGUGACAUUCUGCUUCAUUGGAGCAUGAGUAUACAAAAUCCUAGUUUUCUAUUGUUGUAUGUUCUACAAAGUCUAGGAUCAAAUGUUUUUCCUAAUAAACUACUUUCAAGGACCUUAUAGCCAAAUUAUAUAACCAUCUGCCAACUUGCUGCAAAGGAGGCCAAGCCAUUUCAUCACAAAUUAAAAAAAAAAAAAAAAAAUCCAAAAUUGACCAUCUGCAUUCACAUGUUCAUUUGUUGUUAACUUUCAACUAAGAAAUGACUAAACUAUAAAUUCAUGACCAUAUAUAUAUAUUUUUUUUUUGACUUAAUGAAAAAAGAACAAAGCUUAAGUGCUAAUGGAAUAACUUAC
rnacentral:lncRNA from 1 species